GAACUUCCAUAUGGCUGGGAGAAAAUAGAUGACCCUAUUUAUGGCAGUUACUAUGUUGACCACAUUAACAGAAGGACACAGUUUGAGAACCCCGUCCUAGAGGCCAAACGAAGGAUGCAACAGCAACAGCAAAUGCAAAGUCAAGGUCUAUCGGCGCUGCCAUUGCCCACAAUAUAUAGAGAAAAGCCUCCAUUCACGAGGGACGCCACAC